GUGAGCUCGGAAGAGGUAACUACUUUAAUGGGCGGCCGGCGCGAUGGGCCAGAUAAUCUCAGGCGAAUAGCUUGACGGGAGGGCUCCCUUCUUGAAAUUGGGUGGGGAAUACAACAAUAUUAUUCCGCAAUAUUAUUCCGCUAAGGGGUUCUUGGGGCGGCCUGAGAGGCCUUUUUCAUGGGGGUCUUUUUCCAUUGGGAGGGCUUACGUUUGUA